rnacentral:rRNA from 1 species
CAGCCGUAAACAAUGUGCGUUAGGUGUGUCGGUAACCACGUGUUACUGAUGCGCCGAAGAGAAAUCGUGAAACGCACCACCUGGGAAGUACGGUCGCAAGGCUGAAACUUAAAGGAAUUGGCGGGGGAGCACCACAACAGGUGGAGCCUGCGGUUUAAUUGGAUUCAACGCCGGACAUCUCACCGGAUAAGACAGCUGAAUGAUUGUCAAUCUAAAGGUUUUACAUGACUAGCUGAGAGGAGGUGCAUGGCGUCAGUGACU